CCUACGGGUGGCUGCAGUGGGGAAUAUUGGACAAUGGGGGCAACCCUGAUCCAGCCAUGCCGCGUGUGUGAAGAAGGCCCUCGGGUUGUAAAGCACUUUCAGUGAGGAAGAACGCCUGGUGGUUAAUACCCAUCAGGAAAGACAUCACUCACAGAAGAAGCACCGGCUAACUCCGUGCCAGCAGCCGCGGUAAUACGGAGGGUGCGAGCGUUAAUCGGAAUUACUGGGCGUAAAGCGCGCGUAGGUGGCUUGAUAAGCCGGUUGUGAAAGCCCCGGGCUCAACCUGGGAACGGCAUCCGGAACUGUCAAGCUAGAGUGCAGGAGAGGAAGGUAGAAUUCCCGGUGUAGCGGUGAAAUGCGUAGAGAUCGAGAGGAAUACCAGUGGCGAAGGCGGCCUUCUGGACUGACACUGACACUGAGGUGCGAAAGCGUGGGUAGCAAACAGGAUUAGAUACCCGUGUAGUC
rnacentral:rRNA from 1 species